rnacentral:misc_RNA from 1 species
GAUGCAGAACGUAGCGAAAUGCGAUAAGUAAUGUGAAUUGCAGAAUUCAGUGAAUCAUCGAAUCUUUGAACGCACAUUGCGCCCCCUGGUAUUCCGGGGGGCAUGCCUGUUCGAGCGUCAUUUCACCACUCAAGCCUCGCUUGGUAUUGGGCAACGCGGUCCGCCGCGUGCCUCAAAUCGACCGGCUGGGUCUUCUGUCCCCUAAGCGUUGUGGAAACUAUUCGCUAAAGGGUGCUCGGGAGGCUACGCCGUAAAACAAACCCAUUUCUAAGGUUGACCUCGGAUCAGGUAGGGAUACCCGCUGAACUUAAGCAUAUCAAUAAGCGGAGGA